AGUAACACGUGGGCAACCUGCCCUUGUCUGGGGGACAACCGGGGGAAACUCCGGCUAAUACCGCAUAACGUGCAGUCGCAUAAGCGGCAGUACCAAAGAUAGCUUCGGCUUUCGGACAAGGAUGGGCCCGCGGCGGAUUAGCUUGUUGGUGGGGUAAUGGCCUACCAAGGCGACGAUCCGUAGCUGGUCUGAGAGGACGAUCAGCCACACUGGAACUGAGACACGGUCCAG
rnacentral:rRNA from 1 species